rnacentral:rRNA from 1 species
GACGAACGCUGGCGGCGUGCUUAACACAUGCAAGUCGAACGAAAAGAGGGAAAGAGCUUGCUCUUUCCGGAAUUGAGUGGCAAACGGGUGAGUAACACGUAAACAACCUGCCUUCAGGAUGGGGACAACAGACGGAAACGACUGCUAAUACCGAAUAAGUUCCAAGAGCCGCAUGGCCCAUGGAAUAAAAGGUGGCCUCUACCUGUAAGCUAUCGCCUGAAGAUGGGUUUGCGUCUGAUUAGCUGGUUGUAGGGGUAACGGCCCACCAAGGCGACGAUCAGUAGCCGGUCUCAGAGGAUGAGCGGCCACACUGGAACUGAGACACGGUCCAGACUCCUCCGGGAGGCAGCAGUGGGGAAUCUUCAGCCAUGGGCGAAAGCCUGACGGAGCAAGGCCGCGUGAGUGAUGACGGCCUUCGGGUUGUAACACUCUGUGAUCCGGGACGAAAAGGCAGAGUGCGAAGAACAAACUGCAUUGACGGUACCGGAAAAGCAAGCCACGGCUAACUACGUG